UACAAGCCAUCUGACUUGGGACUAAUAAU
rnacentral:piRNA from 1 species